rnacentral:rRNA from 1 species
AGGGUUUGAUCAUGGCUCAGAUUGAACGCUGGCGGUAGGCUUAACACAUGCAAGUCGUGCGAGAAAGUAUCUUCGGAUAUGAGUAGAGCGGCGGACGGGUGAGUAACGCGUAGGAAUCUACCUAGUAGAAGGGGAUAGCCCGGGGAAACCCGGAUUAAUACCGUAUACCUCCUUCGGGAGAAAGAAGGCCUCUCUUUGAAGCUUUCGCUACUAGAUGAGCCUGCGUAAGAUUAGCUUGUUGGUGAGGUAAAGGCUCACCAAGGCGACGAUCUUUAGCUGGUCUGAGAGGGCGAUCAGCCACAUUGGGACUGAGACACGGCCCAGACUCCUACGGGAGGCAGCAGUGGGGAAUAUUGGACAAUGGGCGCAAGCCUGAUCCAGCCAUACCGCGUGUGUGAAGAAGGCCUUCGGGUUGUAAAGCACUUUAAGCAGGGAGAAAAAGUUAUAAGUUAAUACCUUAUAACCCUGAUGUUACCUGCAGAAUAAGCACCGGCUAAUUCCGUGCCAGCCGCCGCGGUAAUAC